rnacentral:rRNA from 1 species
UACGUAGGGUGCAAGCAUUAAUCGGAAUUAUUGGGCGUAAAGGGCGCGUAGGCGGAAGAGAAAGUCAGAUGUGAAAUCCCGGGACUCAACCCCGGAACUGCAUUUGAAACUCCUUUUCUAGAGGAUAGGCGGAGAAAACGGAAUUCCACAAGUAGCGGUGAAAUGCGUAGAUAUGUGGAAGAACACCUGUGGCGAAAGCGGUUUUCUAGCUUAGACCUGACGCUGAGGCGCGAAAGCAAGGGGAUCAAACAGG